CCUACGGGAGGCAGCAGUGGGGAAUAUUGGACAAUGGGCGCAAGCCUGAUCCAGCCAUGCCGCGUGUGUGAAGAAGGCCUUCGGGUUGUAAAGCACUUUUGUCCGGAAAGAAAAGCAUUCGGUUAAUAACCGGGUGUCCUGACGGUACCGGAAGAAUAAGCACCGGCUAACUUCGUGCCAGCAGCUGCGGUAAUACGAAGGGUGCAAGCGUUACUCGGAAUUACUGGGCGUAAAGCGUGCGUAGGUGGUUCGUUAAGUCUGAUGUGAAAGCCCUGGGCUCAACCUGGGAAUGGCAUUGGAUACUGGCGACCUAGAGUGCGGUAGAGGGGUGCGGAAUUCCCGGUGUAGCAGUGAAAUGCGUAGAUGUCGGGAGGAACAUCUGUGGCGAAGGCGGCACCCUGGACCAGCACUGACACUGAGGCACGAAAGCGUGGGGAGCAAACAGGAUUAGAUACCCUGGUAGUCCACGCCCUAAACGAUGCGAACUGGAAGUUGGGGGCAACUUGGCCCUCAGUUUCGAAGCUAACGCGUUAAGUUCGCCGCCUGGGAAGUACGGUCGCAAGACUGAAACUCAAAGGAAUUGACGG
rnacentral:rRNA from 1 species